rnacentral:rRNA from 1 species
GACGGAGGAUGCAAGCGUUAUCCGGAAUGAUUGGGCGUAAAGCGUCCGCAGGUGGCAGUUCAGGUCUGCUGUCAAAGACCGGGGCUUAACUUCGGAAAGGCAGUGGAAACUGAACAGCUAGAGUAUGGUAGGGGCAGAGGGAAUUCCUGGUGUAGCGGUGAAAUGCGUAGAUAUCAGGAAGAACAUCGGUGGCGAAGGCGCUCUGCUGGACCAUAACUGACACUCAGGGAUGAGAGCCAGGGGAGCGAAUGGG